rnacentral:rRNA from 1 species
UACGUAGGGGGCAAGCGUUGUCCGGAUUUAUUGGGCGUAAAGAGCGUGUAGGCGGUUUUGGUAGGUCCGCUGUGAAAACUCGAGGCUCAACCUCGAGACGCCGGUGGAAACCAUCAGACUAGAGUCCGGAAGAGGAGAGUGGAAUUCCUGGUGUAGCGGUGAAAUGCGCAGAUAUCAGGAAGAACACCCGUGGCUAAGGCGGCUCUCUAGUACGGUACUGACGCUGAGACGCGAAAGCGUGGGGAGCGAACAGG